rnacentral:rRNA from 1 species
AAUACAUGCAAGUCGAACGGAUCCUUCGGGAUUAGUGGCGGACGGGUGAGUAACACGUGGGAACGUGCCCUUUGGUUCGGAACAACUCAGGGAAACUUGAGCUAAUACCGAAUGUGCCCUACGGGGGAAAGAUUUAUCGCCAUUGGAGCGGCCCGCGUCUGAUUAGCUAGUUGGUGAGGUAAAGGCUCACCAAGGCUACGAUCAGUAGCUGGUCUGAGAGGAUGAUCAGCCACAUGGGACUGAGACACGGCCCAGACUCCUACGGGAGGCAGCAGUAGGGAAUCUUGCGCAAUGGGCGAAAGCCUGACGCAGCCAUGCCGCGUGAAUGAUGAAGGUCUUAGGAUUGCAAAAUUCUUUCAGCGGGGACGAUAAUGACGGUACCCGCAGAAGAAGCCCCGGCU